rnacentral:lncRNA from 1 species
AUCUUUAUGCAAUUGAAGCUUGCUCAAUUGAUUUCAAACGGAAAACAAAUGCGUCAUUUCUGAUCCACAGAUUAAAGUACGUUUCUUGGUUAAUUACAUUUAUUCAUGUAUCAGCUUUAUAACUAGUCUUACAUUUUUUCUUUAAUUUUCAGGCUCCUCCUUGGAAAGCUAGCCUCUGUCGGUUUAAAGGGUCUAACCCAUCAACAGAAGCUCGCUUUCUGGAUAAACACCUACAAUUCCUGCAUGAUGAAUGUAAGAGGUUUUCUGUCAAUUAUUGUUGUAAUAGUUAAUGGCAUUUGGACAUUUAAUGCUUAAAAGUUCUCUAGCCUCAAGUUACUUGACCAAAUCUUUGAUCCAAAAUGCAUGUAAUGUAAUUUAAUUAUCAACCUCUCAGACUUUUCUAGAGCAUGGGAUACCUAAGACUCCUGAAAUGGUCGUAGCACUUCUGCAAAAGGCAAGAUAUUAUUGCUCUCAUCUUUUACGGUUAACUACUAAUAACUAGUUCAUUUCAGAUUUUCAUCCACCCAUUCAAUGACUGGUCAUAUUGGACAAAUGCAUUGUGCAUCUGCUUGAACUCAAACCUGACGUCCUCUAAAAGAAUCAGUCUCAAUGUAUUAGCAUGUGGCAUAGUAUCAAUAUCCAAGGACUCAUCUUUACCCUACUUGUUCUUCUAAAUUUAUUUGUAGUCUCAUUUUUGUUGUGAUGAAAUCAUGAAAGAUCUUUAUCUUUGGAACUAUAACCAAUUUCCAGACCAUAUUUACAGCUAAAUUAUCUUAUGGACUAGUGUCCUACCCUCCUAUAUAAAGCUGCUAAUAUUGUCAUCGACAAUAAGCCUAUGACCAAGCUUCAAAUGUGCUUCCACCAGGCAACAAUUAGUGUGGGUGGACAUUUGCUAAAUGCAAUCACAAUAGAGCAUUUUAUUCUGAGGCUGCCUUGUCACUUGAAACACGUAAGUUUUAUCCUCUUCAGGUUUAUUAGAAAAGUUGUUUCCUCACACUGGGAAUGGAGAACCCUUUUCAGGGAGUACUCGUUUUUUUAGGACAAAGACUUAUUUUCUGACCUUGAUCUGUGUUCUGAAUAACAUUCUGCAAAAUCUAAGAAAACCAAUGAGAUGAAGGCUUGCAGCAUAUUUGGAUUUGAUUGGUCCAAACCCUUGGUUACGUUUGCCCUCUCUUGUGGAAGCUGGUCUUCUCCUGCUGUAAGUUGGGUGAACCUUUGUAUUAUUUUGCCAGAGUUAAAUAUUCAACUAAGUUUAUUUACCUUUUCACACUUUGUGUUUUCUUUCCUUCCUAUAAUGCAAUUCUAGGAUUUUUUUGAACUGGAAAAUGAUAGCAUGGUAGCAUUGUAUGUUUAGUAUAUUUCAUUACUGCAUUAGUUUACAAAGAGUCGAAAAGUAAAAUAGUGUUACAUUUUCUGAACCUUUGGUACGAGAGUUUUAUUGUUUUUUAAUCUGCUAUUGAGAAUGGUAGUGGCGAAUUAAAAUUGAUUAUUAAAGUUUAUAGUUGUUCUGCAAAAAACCCGAGUUUGACAAGUAAACACCACCAUUAGAAAACUUCCUUCAAGAGAGACCAAAAUGAAAAAAAAUUCUCGUUUAGUAUACGACAUUGAAAAGCAAAUCGUCAGUCUACUAGAAAUACUCAUGGCACUACCCAUUUCUUCCCUUCCCCUCCACAGCCCUUGGCAUCAGCACACCCACACACAAGAAAAUUUUCCCCAUAAGAUAGCCAAUUCAGCCAUAAAUUUUGGAAUUGAUAAUUAGUUCUUGUAUACUCGAUGAUAUCGAGUUUUUAGUUUGGCCAAAUUUAUUAUGGACAUGUUCUUUUAAAUGAAGGUGAGGGUAUACACUGCAUCUCAAGUUGAGGAGGAGUUGGAAGCAGCUAAGAGAGACUAUUUACAGGCGGCAGUGGGAAUUUCAACAAACAACAAAUUAAUAAUCCCUAAGCUCUUGAAUUGGUAUCUACUUACUUGACUUUGCAAAGGACUUGGAUGCUAUGCUGGAUUGGGUAUGCCUCCAGCAACCGGAUGAGCUCAGAAACGAAACAGUUAGAUGUCUAGAGAGAAGAGGAAGAGAGCCCCUUUCACAUUU